rnacentral:misc_RNA from 1 species
GAAAUGCGAUAAGUAGUGUGAAUUGCAGAAUUCAGUGAAUCAUCGAAUCUUUGAACGCACAUUGCGCCCCUUGGUAUUCCAUGGGGCAUGCCUGUUCGAGCGUCAUUUGUACCCUCAAGCUCUGCUUGGUGUUGGGUGUUUGUCCCCGUCUCCGCGCGUGGACUCGCCCCAAAGUGAUUGGCAGCCGGCGUACUGGUCCCGGAGCGCAGCACAUGUCGCGCAAACGAGUGCCUUGGUACGGCGGCGUCCAUAAGCCCCUCUCUCACGCUCUUGACCUCGGGUCAGCUAGGGAUACCCGCUGAACUUAAGC